rnacentral:misc_RNA from 1 species
GGACUACGAGGGUUUCUAAUCCCGUUUGCUCCCCUAGCUUUCGCGCCUCAGCGUCAAUGCCGGUCCAGGAUGCCGCCUUCGCCACCGGUGUUCCUCCAGAUAUCUACGCAUUUCACCGCUACACCUGGAAUUCCACAUCCCUCUCCCGGAUUCAAGCCUUCCAGUAUCGAACGCAGUUCCCCGGUUGAGCCGGGGGAUUUCACGCACGACUUAGAAGGCCGCCUACGCGCCCUUUACGCCCAGUAAUUCCGAACAACGCUUGCCCCCCCCGUAUUACCGCGGCUGCUGACAC